GGUGCUGUAGGCAAAUGGUUAAGCCACCUGACUUUCGAUCAGGUAAUUGCGGGUUCAACUCCCGUCAGCACUUCCU
rnacentral:tRNA from 1 species